UACGGGGGGGGCAAGCGUUGUUCGGAAUUACUGGGCGUAAAGGGCUCGUAGGCGGCCAACUAAGUCAGACGUGAAAUCCCUCGGCUUAACCGGGGAACUGCGUCUGAGACUGGAUGGCUCGAGUGUGGGAGAGGGGGAUGGAAUUCCGCGUGUAGCAGUGAAAUGCGUAGAUAUGCGGAGGAACACCGAUGGCGAAGGCAAUCCCCUGGGCCUGCACUGACGCUCAUGCACGAAAGCGUGGGGAGCAAACAGG
rnacentral:rRNA from 1 species